GGAAGUAAGAGUCGUAACAAGGUCUCCGUUGGUGAACCAGCGGAGGGAUCAUUAUCGAGUUUAUAACUCCCAAACCCUAUGUGAACUUACCACUUGUUGCUUCGGCGCGCGCUUCGGCGCCGCCGAGGACACUUAAACUCUUUGUUUUUAUAAGCAUUUCUGAGUGGCCGAAAGGCAAAAUACAAAUGAAUCAAAACUUUCAACAACGGAUCUCUUGGUUCUG
rnacentral:misc_RNA from 1 species